UCAGAGCUUAAGAGUGUCCCUUUGUGCUUUAUAAUCAGCCUACGUGCUGUUCUCAUCAGUGAGCUUGUGAGUGAUUGGCAUUUGGUCGUUUCCUGCAAAUGACAACUGGAUGCAGAAAGAUUUCUUUGGUGACAGUGGAGGUAUUUUAUCCUGUUGCUGAUGCCACCAAUAUCUUUGUUGGUACUGAAAGUGGCUGGAAGGGGAUGCAACAGACUGAGGAUCAGUGGGUCUCCAGAAACACUCCACACCUUCGGGACCCAGCCUUGUGGACUGUGAAACCUCGGGGUUCUUGGUAUCUCCAGUGUACAAUAGCCAUUGCUCGACUUCUUCAACUACUCAGACAUUCAGUCUCAAGGAUGAAGUGACCAUUAAAGGGUUCUCAGCCUAUCAGAUCACCCAGAGUCUGGAAAUGUAGAUGGCACCAGAGACAAAUCUUCUCUUUU